CUAAGAAUAUUCCGCAAUGGACGAAAGUCUGACGGAGCGACGCCGCGUGGAUGAAGAAGGCCGAAAGGUUGUAAAGUCCUUUUAUUGCUGAAGAAUAAGCAGGGCAGGGAAUGGCCUUGUGAUGACGUUAGGCAAUGAAUAAGCCCCGGCUAAUUACGUGCCAGCAGCCGCGGUAACACGUAAGGGGCGAGCGUUGUUCGGAAUUAUUGGGCGUAAAGGGCGCGUAGGCGGUUAUACAAGUCUGGCGUGAAAUACUGGUGCUUAACACCGGAAUUGCGUUAGAAACUGUGAAACUGGAGUCAUGGAGGGGGAGUUGGAAUUCCUGGUGUAGGGGUGAAAUCUGUAGAUAUCAGGAAGAACACCGGUGGCGAAGGCGAACUUCUAGCCGAUGACUGACGCUGAGGCGCGAAAGUGCGGGGAGCAAACAGGAUUAGAUACCCUGGUAGUCCGCACUAUAAACGAUGUGCACUAGGUGUUGGGCCGAGCGGUUCAGUGCCGGAGCGAACGUGAUAAGUGCACCGCCU
rnacentral:rRNA from 1 species